rnacentral:rRNA from 1 species
GACGAACGCUGGCGGCGUGCUUAACACAUGCAAGUCGAACGGAAAGGCCCUGCUUUUGUGGGGUGCUCGAGUGGCGAACGGGUGAGUAACACGUGAGUAACCUGCCCUUGACUUUGGGAUAACUUCAGGAAACUGGGGCUAAUACCGGAUAGGAGCUCCUGCUGCAUGGUGGGGGUUGGAAAGUUUCGGCGGUUGGGGAUGGACUCGCGGCUUAUCAGCUUGUUGGUGGGGUAGUGGCUUACCAAGGCUUUGACGGGUAGCCGGCCUGAGAGGGUGACCGGCCCCAUUGGGACUGGGAUGCGGCCCAGACUCCUACGGGAGGCAGCAGUGGGGAAUAUUGCACAAUGGGCGGAAGCCUGAUGCAGCAACGCCGCGUGCGGGAUGACGGCCUUCGGGUUGUAACCCGCUUUCGCCUGUGACGAAGCGUGAGUGACGGUAAUGGGUAAAGAAGCACCGGCUAACUACGUG